CGCUCUUUGCUUUCAUGCAACAUAAAGAGUCGAACCUGCCCAGUGAUUCUAUUUAACGGCCGCGGUACUCUGACCGUGCAAAGGUAGCAUAAUCAUUUGCCUUAUAAUUGAAGGCUCGUAUGAAUGGUUUGACAAGAGUAAAACUGUCUCUAUAUAAAUUUUAUAGAAUUUGGUUUUUAGGUGAAGAAACCUAAAUAAAAUUGAAAGACAAGAAGACCCUAUCGAGCUUAAAAUAAGUUUCUUGAAAAAUAUUAAAGACUAGUUUCAUGAAAAAAUUUUGGUUGGGGCGACUAAGGAACAUCCAAAGCUUCCUAUAAAAUAUACAAACUAAUAAGUUUUGAUCCAAAAAUUUGAUUAACAGAAAUAGUUACCGUAGGGAUAACAGCAUAAUCUUAA
rnacentral:rRNA from 1 species